rnacentral:rRNA from 1 species
UGGGGAAUUUUGGACAAUGGGCGCAAGCCUGAUCCAGCGAUGCCGCGUGCAGGAUGAAGGCCUUCGGGUUGUAAACUGCUUUUGUACGGAACGAAAAGCUUCUGGUUAAUACCUGGGAGUCAUGACGGUACCGUAAGAAUAAGCACCGGCUAACUACGUGCCAGCAGCCGCGGUAAUACGUAGGGUGCGAGCGUUAAUCGGAAUUACUGGGCGUAAAGCGUGCGCAGGCGGUUAUGUAAGACAGAGGUGAAAUCCCCGGGCUCAACCUGGGAACUGCCUUUGUGACUGCAUGGCUAGAGUGCGGCAGAGAGGGAUGGAAUUCCGCGUGUAGCAGUGAGAUGCGUAGAUAUGCGGAGGAACACCGAUGGCGAAGGCAAUCCCCUGGACCUGUACUGACGCUCAUGCACGAAAGCGUGGGGAGCGAACA